CUUGGAAUGAGCAGCGUCGAAAGAGGCUCGGUUGAAACAUACAAAGUCAUGUCCAAAAGAAGGGUAGGUCCAUCAAAUUAGCUAUGUUUCUCAGUUAGAACGUUUGGUCAUUAAAAAACCAAAAAAAAUGAAUGUGGUCACAAAAUCUCUCUCUCACACGACUACAAAAUUACGUUCUGUUUCCCUAUAUUGAUCAUAUUUGGUUGUGCUUCGGAUUUUUUGGGUAAUUCCUAAACAAAUUUUUCAAAUUUUCAUUCUCUUUCCACAAAUUUGUGCUCCUGGCUUGCUUUGUGGGAUGGAGAAAUGUUGUGUGAUCGAGAGCAAUUAUGCAUGUUGCUGUACUACUAGCUGGAGCAGGUGAGAGAUUUCAUGCUUCUAGAAAUCUUCUGCUGCAGGAUCAAGCUAGAUCAUCACUAUUUAACGCACCAUCUUUCUCACCGAAAGCUGCCAUUGAAGAUGUGACUUCAGCUUCCCAAAUACUGCCAUGAUGGAAAGCCUGUGAAGAAGAAAUCACAGGUUGACCUGAUGGUCCAAUAAUAUUACACUGUUGUUGUUGUUGAUACGCAAAUACAUUUUCAUUGAUCAGAGAAUCCAGAAACAAAGAGAACGUGUCCUCAUUUUCAUUUCCAAUGUAAUCUUCCUCUUUGUUUUGUUCAUGAUGACUUUGUAACCCCUUAUUAAAACCAUCACAACUAGGCCAGUUUUUGGCACCAUCAUCAA